rnacentral:misc_RNA from 1 species
ACGGACGAAGGCGAUUACAACAUCAAGUUGCGCAACUUGAUCAGCUUUCUGGAAGAGGGCGACAAGGCGAAAAUUACGUUGCGAUUUCGGGGACGCGAAAUGGAACAUCAGGAGUUUGGUGUGCGCCUGCUGGAGCGGUUGAGAGGCGAUCUGGAAUCUCAGGCGGUGGUAGAACAGUUUCCAAGGAUGGAAGGAAGGCAGAUGGUGAUGGUGCUGUCUCCCCGGAAGAAGGAAGUUAAAAUACCCAAACCGAAGGAAACAAAACCAAAGGUUGUUACCGAAACCGAUGCAGAGAAUGGUUGA